rnacentral:rRNA from 1 species
GUAGGUGGCAAGCGUUGUCCGGAAUUAUUGGGCGUAAAGCGCGCGCAGGCGGUCCUUUAAGUCUGAUGUGAAAGCCCACGGCUCAACCGUGGAGGGUCAUUGGAAACUGGGGGACUUGAGUACAGAAGAGGAAAGCGGAAUUCCAAGUGUAGCGGUGAAAUGCGUAGAGAUUUGGAGGAACACCAGUGGCGAAGGCGGCUUUCUGGUCUGUAACUGACGCCGAGGCGCGAAAGCGUGGGGAGCAAACAGGAUUAGAUACCCUGGUAGUCCACGCCGUAAACGAUGAGUGCUAAGUGUUAGGGGGUUUCCCGCCCCCCUUAGUGCUGCAGCUAACGCAUUAAGCACUCCGCCUGGGGGAGUACGGCCGCAAGGCUG